UCACAGGACCACCCCAUCUAAAGAGGAAGCGUUUUCAGAGGGUUUAAACUAGCCAUAAUAACGCCUUUUAACAGCGUUAAGCCAAAGGAUUCUUCCCUCGGGACCCUGCCCGCCUCAGCGCUUCUGAGGGCUCCGUCUCGGCUCCGCCGCUGAGGAAAGCGAACGACCUGGCCGCGAGACCCCACCGCCGCGCGACCCUCGGGCCCGCCAGAACUCAGCUCCGCGCGCAGAGAGGGGAGGGGAGGGGGGGAGUUAAGGGUUUUAUCCCUCACAGGUGAGACCCCCCCCAACCAUCACUAGCAUCACCUCCACCUGAGCGCCGGGCUGGGGGGGCGGGACAGACCGGACCUCGCUUCCACCCCCCGCUUUUCGCCCCGGGGGACGCGGAGCGGGGGCGUGCAGCUGCAAAAAAACAAAAAAACAGACAAAAAAAACCCCCAAACAAACAGACGA